GACGAACGCUGGCGGCGUGCUUAACACAUGCAAGUCGAGCGGAAAGGCCCUUUCGGGGGUACUCGAGCGGCGAACGGGUGAGUAACACGUGAGUAAUCUGCCCCUGGCUUUGGGAUAGCCACCGGAAACGGUGAUUAAUACCGGAUACGACCACUUCCCGCAUGGGAUGGUGGUGGAAAGUUUUUCGGCCAGGGAUGUGCUCGCGGCCUAUCAGCUUGAAGGUGAGGUAAUGGAUCACCACGGCUUCGACGGGUAGCCGGGCUGCCGUGGUGACCGGUCACACUGGGAUUGAGACACGGCCCAGACUCCUACGGGAGGCAGCAGUGGGGAAUAUUGGACAAUGGGUGGAAGCCUGAUCCAGCAACGCCGCGUGAGGGAUGACGGCCUUCGGGUUGUAAACCUCUUUCAGCAGGGACGAAGCGCAAGUGACGGUACCUGCAGAAGAAGCACCGGCCAACUACGUGCCAGCCGCCGCGGUAA
rnacentral:rRNA from 1 species